GCCGCCGGCGACAAAGGGACGGCUACAAAUGGACCAAGGGCGCUGGCGACGAAGGGACCAAGGGCGCCGGUGAAAGUCGUCAACUCGUCAUCCUUCUCAGGUCCAUGGGCUCAAUCCUGACAAUGAGUUAACGUUUUAUCCUCCACAAACUAGGUACGCUCAAUCCAAGGAGGAACAACCAGCUAGCACUCUCCCUUUUUAAGGAUUUUUGUAUGGUACCUGCAGCACAAUUGCAACUACAACUAUUCCCCUGCACAGGGUUGUUAUGGAAUGUGUGAGUUAGGAUUAGGUGAUUAUCAUGCAUAAGUUUGGGAUAAUGUCUUGUUGUCUCGGUUUGAAUAAUGCAAUGCUAGGACUACAACUGGACCAGAAUUAAGCCCUGUUUAACUCUUAGCUGCUUGUGAUCUCAGAAAGGAUUCUGCAUAUGAUUAAUAUGCCACUCUUGUGUCUCUGGCCUAUGUAAAUUUGCUGGACGUAAAUACUGUAAGUUCUUUUUUCUACUUUUUGAACAUGCACAUAGCAACUGAUCAAAAUACUACCACUAUUAUUCAUUUUAAAGCCAUGACAUCUUAACUCUGAAUAUAGGUUGUGCUCCACUGAAAGUGAUUGACUCAUUUGCUGAAAAGAUAAUUGAAAUGCUCACUGUUACAGAACCUCCUUUUUACCCUCAUGUGUACCUACACCUGUGUGCACUGUCAAUUAAAUUGCAGCUUUUGUUAUUUAUUUCUUAACCUUCAGGCACUGGGAAGUAUAUCAAGAAGUUGUGUUCAAUGCAUAUCUGUUUACUUCCCCCCUUUUGGAUCUAGCCAGUUGUGACUUGAGAACUUGUGGCUAAGAUAUCCUAGCUUGAAAAAGUUUACUGAUGGCCAUUUUAUUAAUGUUUUAUAUGUUCAUAUGCAUAAUUGUUAUCACCUUUCACCUUUUGUGAUUUCAGUUUGCUGGUUUGUUCUAUGGUGAUUGUACUGCAUUUUAUUUGUUAAUUUACAUGCCCUUUGGAUUACGUACCAUGUGUUGUACACAUCGUUUGAUGAAUUGGAAACCUGGAAGUUCCGUAUUGCUUUGCCUAAUAAACUUACAUUUUCAUGGUGUGUAGAUUUUAGAGAUGAUUAUAGGGACGAAACCAUCAGGACAUAUAAAGAAUGGUUAAGGCGUCAAGAUUAUCUUCCAGACAUCUGUAAUCUCUUUUCUUUGUUUCUCCAAUCAAACCUAUAUUACUUGCGCAAACCAGAAUUGUAUAUACUGAUGCUUUCAUUUAAUAAUGCUGUAUCAUAUUUAGAAGACGAUGACAUUGAGUUUGGAAAACCUCUUGACGAGGAAAGUACUACUAGCAACCCAUCUCCACAAAAAGAAUCGCCAUCUCAUGCUCGUCGAAAAAAAAGAAAAGGAAAUGGUGUGCUAUGCGUCCUACAACAUUUUACAACAUCAUCUCCCCUGCUCCAUUUUUUUCACCAUCAGUAUAUAAUAAUAUUUUCCAGUAUCAUUUAAUAAUAAAGUGUCAUUGAUGCUCUUUUUGUCCCUGAAGCUGAGGAAAAUAAUAUUUUCCAGUCAAGCUACAAGGAAAUCACAGGAUGCAAAACAUCCACAAUUCAUAGUCAUGGGUACAUGUCUAAACGUCAAACACAGAGGGAAUCAAUGCAGGAUCGACUAGAAGAACAAGCCCAUGCUCCAGAAGUAGCCAACCAAAAAAAUAUUGAGCUACAAGGUCAGGUUGUCAGUUUAAAUGAAAAAUUAGCGAGUCAAGAAGCUGAAUGCAAGUGAAAGGAGAUUGUGAAGAAAAAUUCCAACAGUUUAAAGAGGAAGAGAGUAACAAACUACAAGCACUUCAAGAAGAAUUUACGGCUGCACUUGCAGCCAGUAGAGGAACCCCUUUUGUUGAGACUGCCACAAAAAGCAUCGACCAAAGUGAAGCUGCGCCAACAGUUAAUGAGGGAAGUGUUGCCAACAUUCUAGCUUCUAAUGCAAGUGAAGCCCCAACAGUUCUAGUUCAAAAUAUUCCGCUAUUGAUUGCACCCAUGAUGAUAAUGGAAUAUAUGCUAAUUUCCUACCUUAUUUUUCCUUAUGCAGGCUGCCCCUAAAAGCAUCGCCCCCAGUGAAGCUACACCAACCGUUCAAAAAGCUGCUACAAAAACACUAGUUUCUAAGCCCCCGCGAAGUGUUUCUCAAAACAACAAGAAUUAUAUUUCUACACAUCAACUGAUGAAUGCUGCUGUAAAAUGUGUACGGACACGAAGCCAACAGGAUAUUUGAACAUAAAUGGAUCACUCGGACUUGGAUGCCUUUCAUGGUCAACACAAGGAAUCAUGGAGUGCCGACCAGUGCUUGCUCUAGCCUACAUAAGAUAGAUGUUGGGUAAUUUUGAUAACCCAACACUAGCUAUUUAUGAACUAUUUUGAUUUCAGAUAAUGUAUUGGGCACUUUAUGUACUAGUUUUUACCAAAGUUUUAAAUCGCCGGCUAAAACGUUUAGCGGCAGAGCUGCCGUUACGGCGUUUAGCGAACUAUAGCCGGCAUUUAGCGGGCUAUAGCCGGCUUUAGCGGGCUAAAUGCCAUAGCGGCUAAUC